CAACUCGACUGCACGAAGCUGGAAUCGCUAGUAAUCGCGGAUCAGCACGCCGCGGUGAAUACGUUCCCGGGCCUUGUACACACCGCCCGUCACACCAUGGAAGUCUGCAAUGCCCGAAGCCGAUGGCCUAACCACUUAUGUGGAAGGAGCCGUCUAAGGCAGGGCAGAUGACUGGGGUGAAGUCGUAACAAGGUACC
rnacentral:rRNA from 1 species